rnacentral:misc_RNA from 1 species
GAAAUGCGAUACGUAGUGUGAAUUGCAGAAUUCCGUGAACCAUCAAAUCUUUGAACGCAUAUUGCGCUCAAGGCUUCGGCCGAGAGCAUGUCUGCCUCAGCGUCGGGUUAAUAUCACUCCACUCAACCCUGUGUUGAAUGAAGUGGAUCUGGCUGUUCCAAUGCGUCAUGAGCUUGCUCAUGGUUAAACGUGAUGGAUCAGCUGAAGUGCAGAGGCUAAUGCAAGGACCCUUAUGGGCCGCAACUGGGUAGGCAGCUCACGCUUGCUAUUUCUAGUUGUUGGCUUGGACCAUGCGUUUGCCCUCAAACAGGAAUUAACCUUAUUUUCUCGACCUGAGCUCAGGCAAGAACACCCGCUGAACUUAA